AUUAUGUCCACUCUAAUGCCAUGUUAUGUAACAAAGCCGAAUAACAAGGCCUCGCUUGUGGACGAUAUAAAAUUUGGUUCUAUUAUCCUAGCACCUAAUGUAAUUUAAAAAAUUAGUGUGCUCGAGAAACGUAGAACUACAAAC
rfam:Musca domestica strain aabys unplaced genomic scaffold Scaffold19000, whole genome shotgun sequence.